rnacentral:rRNA from 1 species
GAUGAACGCUGGCGGCGUGCCUAAUACAUGCAAGUCGAGCGAACAGACGAGGAGCUUGCUCCUCUGACGUUAGCGGCGGACGGGUGAGUAACACGUGGAUAACCUACCUAUAAGACUGGGAUAACUUCGGGAAACCGGAGCUAAUACCGGAUAAUAUAUUGAACCGCAUGGUUCAAUAGUGAAAGACGGUUUUGCUGUCCCUUAUAGAUGGAUCCGCGCCGCAUUAGCUAGUUGGUAAGGUAACGGCUUACCAAGGCAACGAUGCGUAGCCGACCUGAGAGGGUGAUCGGCCACACUGGAACUGGGACACGGUCCAGACUCCUACGGGAGGCAGCAGUAGGGAAUCUUCCGCAAUGGGCGAAAGCCUGACGGAGCAACGCCGCGUGAGUGAUGAAGGUCUUCGGAUCGUAAAACUCUGUUAUUAGGGAAGAACAAAUGUGUAAGUAACUAUGCACGUCUUGACGGUACCUAAUCAGAAAGCCACGGCUAACUACGUG